rnacentral:lncRNA from 1 species
CAUAAUUAAACCAAACAAGUACUAUCAACUCGAGGAUGAAAGACGGGACAAACAGAGACACUACCUAAAGCAAUUUCAUGCUAAACUAAUACCUUGUUGAAUAGAUAGGUAUUAGAUCAUUUCAAAUCAAGAAAGCUUGAGACAAACUUAAGCAAACAGAACAAUGAUCUGUCGUACAAAGACACAUUAGUUAACAACAAACUCUUCCAAUUCAUGGCAAAACAUUAAACUAUCUAGGAUGAAAGGAUGAGUUACGAGAAUAUAUAAUAACCAAACAUUGAACGAGUAUAAUGAUAUCAUACUACAAAAUGACCUGAAGACGAACGAGUCAUAUGAAUGUGAACUAAACUAAUAUAUGCUCAAGAUUAUGCGACGAAAUAACUUCCCUGGCGCUUGAGGACAUUAUGGAGCGCAUAACAGCCAUGAACUUGAUGAAACCUCAAAAAUGUAGGCUCAAACGAACACCAAGUCAUCCUCGAAAACAGAAACAAGUAAGAAAAAUAUAAAAAACGAUAGUAAUAUAUUAUCAGACCAACCUUUACCCCCUAAUUCGCAGGCAGCAACGAGUCAAAAGAAAAUUUCAUUCUAUCAUGUAAGCUACUUCACGCUAUCAUGAACAACACAGUGAAAACAAGGGAUGCUUGAAGAGAGACGGACGUUACCUUUAGAGGGGCAGUGGAACUGGGACGUUAGCAAUUUACGGAGUACUUCACCACAGACUCCGAACUUUGGGAGUUUUUUAUUCUCUAAAAAUUCCUCCCC